UUUGUUGUUGUUCCUUACUGUUUUCUGCUUGUUAUAUUGUUUUAAAAUGUUGUAGAUUGCCUAGAAUUGCUUGGACAUUUGAGGUAGCUUAUAAACAAAUGACAAACAAACAAAUACAAAGGCCAAAGGUCAAAAUGGCAAGUGGGAAUUAUUAUUUGCUUUCGUAUUAUUAUGAAAGAGCUGCAAAUUUCUGAAUCUGCCCAUGCAUGCUUGCUAACAGACAUCUAUGAUAUUUUUGCUGACACAUUAUAUCAGAAAAAAUAAUUACCGAUGCAAUCAUUACAAUACGUCAAUAACUUUUCAUAUUGCAAAUCUGGCUACCCAUCUUGGAACCUCAGAUCAAAACCUUUAAAUCAAUUUAAUGCUACACUCCUAUCAUGGUAUGACUGCAUCAUUCUGAAUAAAUUCUGCUAAGCUCAGAAGCUUU